rnacentral:tRNA from 1 species
GGUAGUAGCUCAGUUGGUAGAGCAUUGGCUUCCCAAGCCAAGGGUCGCGGGUUCGAGCCCCGUUUAC